CUUCCGAUCUCUCCACCCAGACUCAUCCAUCGCGCAGAGGAUAGAGAGUUUCUGUUGCUGCUGAUAUCGCCCUUAUUUUACUUUGAAAAAAUUAGAGUGAUUAAAACAGAUAUUAUUAUGUCUGUAUAAAUUAGCAUGGGAUAAUCGAAUAAGAAUCGGGAUAUUUGUUUUGAUUUGGUUAAAUAAAAGAAUAAAUUUUCCUUUGGUUAAUUUAUUUAUUUUAUCAAAUACCUGAUUACAUGAUUAAUAGGGACAGUUGGGGUCCUUCGUAUUGAAUUGUGAGAGGUGAAAUUCUAAGAUCAAUUCAAGACGUACUAAUGCGAAAGCAUUGGACAAGGAUGUUUUCAUUAAUCAAGAACGAAAGUUGGGGGAUCGAAGAUGAUCAGAUACCGUCGUAGUCCUAACCGUAAACUAUGUCGACUAAAGAUUAGUUAAAGUCUAUUGAAUAAAUGACUUUACUAGUAUUAUAACGAGAAAUCUCAAGUUUUCGGAUUCCGGGGGGAGUAUGGUCGCAAGGCUGAAACUUAAAGGAAUUGACGGAAGGGCACCACCAGGAGUGGAACCUGCGGCUCAAUUGGACCCAACGCCGGGAAACUCACCAGGUCCGGACACAAGAAGGAUUGACAGAUUGAUAGUUCUUUCUUGAUUUUGUGUAAAGUGGUGCAUGGCCGUUUUUAGUUGGUGGAUUGAUUUGUCUGGUUUAUUCCGUUAACGAUCGAGACCUUAACUUAUUAAAUAGUAACCUAAACAACACAUUUAAUAAAAAUGGUACUUAUGUAUCAUUUUUAAAUAAUUAGGCUUUAAUACUUCUUAAAAGGACAUUUCAUGUUAAUGAAAGGAAGAUUGAGGCAACAACAGGUCUGUGAUGCCCUUCGAUGUUCUGGGCUGCACGCGUGUUACAAUGUUAUAAACAACGAGUUUUAAAGAUCCUAACCUGAAAAAGGUAGAGGUAAUCUUUUAAAACUAUAACAUGAUUGGGAUAGAUCCUUGUAAUUAUUGGUCUUGAACGAGGAAUUCCUAGUAAAUAUAAGUAAUCAUCUUAUGUUGAUUACGUCCCUGCCCUUUGUACACACCGCCCGUCGCUCCUACCGAUUGAAUGUCAAGGUGAGGAUUUAGGAUGUAGAGUUUGAAUAAAAUAAAAAAUUUGGAAGUAAGAAUUUAUUCUUAUGGAAAAGUUUUUUUUUAUUCUAAAGAUCUUGACCAAUCGGAAAAAAUCUAUGCUUUAUUCUAAAAUUUAUUCAAACCUUAUCAUUUAGAGGAAGGAGAAGUCGUAACAAGGUUUCCGUAGGUGAACCUGCGGAAG
rnacentral:rRNA from 1 species